rnacentral:rRNA from 1 species
AUACGGAGGGUGCGAGCGUUGUUCGGAAUUACUGGGCGUAAAGCGCGCGUAGGCGGGUGAAUAAGUCGAUUGUGAAAACCCAGGGCUCAACCUUGGACGUGCAGUCGAAACUGUUCAUCUUGAAUGCUUGAGAGGAUAGCGGAAUUCCCGGUGUAGCAGUGAAAUGCGUAGAUAUCGGGAGGAACACCAGUGGCGAAGGCGACUUCCUGGGCCAAUACUGACGCUGAGGUGCGAAAGCGUGGGGAGCGAACAGGAUUAGAUACCCUGGUAGUCCACGCCGUAAACGAUGAGAACUAGAUGUUGGAGGGGUUACCCUUCAGUGUCGUAGCUAACGCGUUAAGUUCUCCGCCUGGGGAGUACGUCGGCAACGAUAAAACUCAAAGGAAUUGACGGGACCCGCACAAGCGGUGGAGCAUGUGGUUUAAUUCGAUGCAACGCGAAGAACCUUACCUGCCCUUGACAUACUCGGAACUUGCCAGAGAUGGCUUGGUGCCUUCGGGAACCGAGA